rnacentral:rRNA from 1 species
GAUGAACGCUGGCGGCGUGCCUAAUACAUGCAAGUCGAGCGAACGGACGAGAAGCUUGCUUCUCUGAUGUUAGCGGCGGACGGGUGAGUAACACGUGGAUAACCUACCUAUAAGACUGGGAUAACUUCGGGAAACCGGGGCUAAUACCGGAUAAUAUUUUGAACCGCAUGGUUCAAAAGUGAAAGACGGUCUUGCUGUCACUUAUAGAUGGAUCCGCGCUGCAUUAGCUAGUUGGUAAGGUAACGGCUUACCAAGGCAACGAUGCAUAGCCGACCUGAGAGGGUGAUCGGCCACACUGGAACUGAGACACGGUCCAGACUCCUACGGGAGGCAGCAGUAGGGAAUCUUCCGCAAUGGGCGAAAGCCUGACGGAGCAACGCCGCGUGAGUGAUGAAGGUCUUCGGAUCGUAAAACUCUGUUAUUAGGGAAGAACAUAUGUGUAAGUAACUGUGCACAUCUUGACGGUACCUAAUCAGAAAGCCACGGCUAACUACGUGCCAGCAGCCGCGGUAAUACGUAGGUGGCAAGCGUUAUCCGGAAUUAUUGGGCGUAAAGCGCGCGUAGGCGGUUUUUUAAGUCUGAUGUGAAAGCCCACGGCUCAACCGUGGAGGGUCAUUGGAAACUGGAAAACUUGAGUGCAGAAGAGGAAAGUGGAAUUCCAUGUGUAGCGGUGAAAUGCGCAGAGAUAUGGAGGAACACCAGUGGCGAAGGCGACUUUCUGGUCUGUAACUGACGCUGAUGUGCGAAAGCGUGGGGAUCAAACAGGAUUAGAUACCCUGGUAGUCCACGCCGUAAACGAUGAGUGCUAAGUGUUAGGGGGUUUCCGCCCCUUAGUGCUGCAGCUAACGCAUUAAGCACUCCGCCUGGGGAGUACGACCGCAAGGUUGAAACUCAAAGGAAUUGACGGGGACCCGCACAAGCGGUGGAGCAUGUGGUUUAAUUCGAAGCAGCGCGAAGAACCUUACCAAAUCUUGACAUCCUUUGACAACUCUAGAGAUAGAGCCUUCCCCUUCGGGGGACAAAGUGACAGGUGGUGCAUGGUUGUCGUCAGCUCGUGUCGUGAGAUGUUGGGUUAAGUCCCGCAACGAGCGCAACCCUUAAGCUUAGUUGCCAUCAUUAAGUUGGGCACUCUAAGUUGACUGCCGGUGACAAACCGGAGGAAGGUGGGGAUGACGUCAAAUCAUCAUGCCCCUUAUGAUUUGGGCUACACACGUGCUACAAUGGACAAUACAAAGGGCAGCGAAACCGCGAGGUCAAGCAAAUCCCAUAAAGUUGUUCUCAGUUCGGAUUGUAGUCUGCAACUCGACUACAUGAAGCUGGAAUCGCUAGUAAUCGUAGAUCAGCAUGCUACGGUGAAUACGUUCCCGGGUCU